rnacentral:rRNA from 1 species
AGAGUUUGAUCCUGGCUCAGGACGAACGCUGGCGGCGCGCCUAACACAUGCAAGUCGAACGAGCGAGAGAGAGCUUGCUUUCUCGAGCGAGUGGCGAACGGGUGAGUAACGCGUGAGGAACCUGCCUCAAAGAGGGGGACAACAGUUGGAAACGACUGCUAAUACCGCAUAAGCCCACAGGUCGGCAUCGACCAGAGGGAAAAGGAGCAAUCCGCUUUGAGAUGGCCUCGCGUCCGAUUAGCUAGUUGGUGAGGUAAUGGCCCACCAAGGCGACGAUCGGUAGCCGGACUGAGAGGUUGAACGGCCACAUUGGGACUGAGACACGGCCCAGACUCCUACGGGAGGCAGCAGUGGGGAAUAUUGCACAAUGGGGGAAACCCUGAUGCAGCGACGCCGCGUGGAGGAAGAAGGUCUUCGGAUUGUAAACUCCUGUUGUUGAGGAAGAUAAUGACGGUACUCAACAAGGAAGUGACGGCUAACUACGUGCCAGCAGCCGCGGUAAAACGUAGGUCACAAGCGUUGUCCGGAAUUACUGGGUGUAAAGGGAGCGCAGGCGGGAAGACAAGUUGGAAGUGAAAUCUAUGGGCUCAACCCAUAAACUGCUUUCAAAACUGUUUUUCUUGAGUAGUGCAGAGGUAGGCGGAAUUCCCGGUGUAGCGGUGGAAUGCGUAGAUAUCGGGAGGAACACCAGUGGCGAAGGCGGCCUACUGGGCACCAACUGACGCUGAGGCUCGAAAGUGUGGGUAGCAAACAGGAUUAGAUACCCUGGUAGUCCACACCGUAAACGAUGAUUACUAGGUGUUGGAGGAUUGACCCCUUCAGUGCCGCAGUUAACACAAUAAGUAAUCCACCUGGGGAGUACGACCGCAAGGUUGAAACUCAAAGGAAUUGACGGGGGCCCGCACAAGCAGUGGAGUAU